GACGAACGCUGGCGGCGUGCCUAAUACAUGCAAGUUGAGCGCUGAAGGUUGGUACUUGUACCAACUGGAUGAGCAGCGAACGGGUGAGUAACGCGUGGGGAAUCUGCCUUUGAGCGGGGGACAACAUUUGGAAACGAAUGCUAAUACCGCAUAAAAACUUUAAACACAAGUUUUAAGUUUGAAAGAUGCAAUUGCAUCACUCAAAGAUGAUCCCGCGUUGUAUUAGCUAGUUGGUGAGGUAAAGGCUCACCAAGGCGAUGAUACAUAGCCGACCUGAGAGGGUGAUCGGCCACAUUGGGACUGAGACACGGCCCAAACUCCUACGGGAGGCAGCAGUAGGGAAUCUUCGGCAAUGGACGAAAGUCUGACCGAGCAACGCCGCGUGAGUGCAGAAGGUUUUCGGAUCGGAAAACUCUGUUGGUAGAGAAGAACGUUGGUGAGAGUGGAAAGCUCAUCAAGUGACGGUAACUACCCAGAAAGGGACGGCUAACUACGUG
rnacentral:rRNA from 1 species